GUUGGGUGUGGUGGUGCAUGCCUGUUAUCCCAGCUACUUGGAAAGCUGAGGCAAGAGGAUCACAAGUUCAAGGCCAGUCUGAGCAAUUUAGUGAGACUCUGUCUCAA
rnacentral:sRNA from 1 species